UACGAAGGGGGCUAGCGUUGCCCGGAAUUACUGGGCGUAAAGCGCACGUAGGCGGUCUUUUAAGUCGGGGGUGAAAUCCUGGAGCUCAACUCCAGAACUGCCUUCGAUACUGGAAGACUUGAGUCCGGGAGAGGUGAGUGGAACUGCGAGUGUAGAGGUGAAAUUCGUAGAUAUUCGCAAGAACACCAGUGGCGAAGGCGGCUCACUGGCCCGGUACUGACGCUGAGGUGCGAAAGCGUGGGGAGCGAUCCGG
rnacentral:rRNA from 1 species